GAGGGUAUAGCUCAGUGGUAGAGUGCAUGCCUAGCAUGCAUGAGGUCCUGGGUUCGAUCCCCAGUACCUCCA
rnacentral:tRNA from 1 species